rnacentral:tRNA from 1 species
GCCGCAGUAGCCAAGGUAGUCACGGCGAGCGCCUGAAGAGCGUUUUAUACUUGUGCGACUCAAGUCUGCGGCA